GACCCUGUGGUGAAAUUCAUGUUGAGUUGCAAGCUCAUUGAUGUGCAUUAAAAGUGUACCGGGGUCU
rnacentral:tRNA from 1 species